GCCUUGGGAGCCCGGCGGGAACUCCCGUGGGCUCCCGCUGCUUGCGGAUAGCUUCCUGAAGCCCCGGGUGCACAGCGCCGCGCUCCCCGGGCUUUGGGCUGCAGGCAGCUGUGCGCAAGCCUGCGGAGAGCUGCCCGAAGCCCGGGGUGCGCUCCGCUGCACUCCCCCGGUUUCGGGCUGCAGGCUGCUGUCCACAAGCCUUGGGAGCCCAGCGGGAACUCCCACCGGGGUCCCAAGGCUUGCGGAUAGCUUCCUGAAGCCUGGAGAGCGAGGGGGGUUGGUGCGCACCAACCCCUCUUGCUUUGCAGGCUUCAGCGAAAGCCUGCAUUCGCCCCAUAGGACGCACACACAUUUCCCCUUCAUUUUUGGAGGGGAAAAAGUGCGUCCUAUAGGGCGAAAAAUACGGAAAUUCUGUGCUCAGGAAGCCAGCUUAACCUAGGUGGCGGGAAGGUGUUGCUUAGCAACCAGACAGAGUGGCAUGAUGCUUACUGGCGUAGCAGUUCUGAGGGAGUUUUAACUCUGUAUGUUAGUUACCCGUCUCCCUGCCUGAACUAAGAAAGACACAGCCUCUCUUCCUUUCUCCACAAAUGAUACCCAGGUUUUUUCAGUUUGCUCAGUAAAGUGUCAUCAAGACUUUU